rnacentral:rRNA from 1 species
UGGAAACGACUGCUAAUACCGCAUACAGCCUCAGGGUGAAAGAAGAAAUUCGCUAUCAGAUGUGCCCAAACGGGAUUAGCUAGUAGGUGAGGUAAAGGCUCACCUAGGCGACGAUCUCUAGCUGGUCUGAGAGGAUGAUCAGCCACAUUGGGACUGAGACACGGCCCAGACUCCUACGGGAGGCAGCAGUAGGGAAUAUUGCACAAUGGAGGAAACUCUGAUGCAGCCAUGCCGCGUGUGAAGAAGGCCUUCGGGUUGUAAAGCACUUUCGGAGGGGAGGAAGAAAAUGACGUUACCCUCAGAAGAAGCACCGGCUAACUCCGUGCCAGCA